UGGGGAAUAUUGGACAAUGGGCGCAAGCCUGAUCCAGCCAUGCCGCGUGGGUGAUGAAGGCCUUAGGGUUGUAGAGCCCUUUCGGCGGGGAAGAUAAUGACGGUACCCGCAGAAGAAGCCCCGGCUAACUUCGUGCCAGCAGCCGCGGUAAUACGAAGGGGGCUAGCGUUGCUCGGAAUUACUGGGCGUAAAGCGCACGUAGGCGGCUUGUUAAGUCGGGGGUGAAAUCCCGGAGCUCAACUCCGGAACUGCCUUCGAUACUGGCAAGCUCGAGUCCGGGAGAGGUCAGUGGAACUGCGAGUGUAGAGGUGAAAUUCGUAGAUAUUCGCAAGAACACCAGUGGCGAAGGCGGCUCACUGGCCCGGUACUGACGCUGAGGUGCGAAAGCGUGGGGAGCAAACA
rnacentral:rRNA from 1 species